rnacentral:piRNA from 1 species
AGAUGUCAUUUUCUCUAUGGUUGGUC